CAAUCAGCGGGCCCGCGCUGAGGUAUAGGCACAGAGGGUGGGUAAAGGCGCCCCGCUUCCGGUGGCAGGGUCUGGGGAAGGGGCGGCAGGCGCCAUGUCCGGCCGCGAAGGUGGCAAGAAGAAACCCCUGAAGCAGCCCAAGAAGCAGGCCAAGGAGAUGGACGAGGAAGAUAAGGCAUUCAAGCAGAAACAGAAAGAGGAGCAGAAGAAACUCGAGGAGCUAAAAGCGAAGGCGGCGGGGAAGGGCCCCCUGGCCACAGGUGGAAUUAAGAAAUCUGGCAAAAAGUAAGCUGUUACUUGUGCCCGAGGCAAUGGUGAUCUUUAAUUCCAUUCCUGUUUAAACCUCUGGAUUCCCUGCCACAGCAUCUGUUGCCACCUAUAGCUAGAAUGAAGUGUUGUCUUAGAUCCCGUUGUACAUUUAAGAAUAAGGUUUUGUAAAAAAAUAAUAAAAUCAGUCAAUUAUACAGUG